rnacentral:rRNA from 1 species
CCUACGGGUGGCUGCAGUGGGGAAUCUUCCGCAAUGGGCGAAAGCCUGACGGAGCAACGCCGCGUGCUCGAAUGAAGGCCUUCGGGUUGUAAAGUGCUGUUGUCAGGGACGAAUAAGCAAUGCAAAUAGUUUUUUGUAUGUCGGUUCCUGUUUAGAAAGCUCCGGCUACAUACCUGCCAGCAGCCGCGGUAAUACGUAGGGAGCAAGCGUCGUCCGGAUUUACUGGGCGUAAAGGGCGCGUAGGUGGGUGCUUAAGUCAGGUGUGAAAACUCCAGGCUCAACAUGGUGACUGCACUUGAAACUGGGGGUCGUGAGGGCGGGAGAGGAAGGUGGAAUGCCUAGUGUAGCGGUGAAAUGCGUAGAUAUUAGGAGGAACACCAGUUGCGAAGGCGACUUGCUGGACUGGACCUGACGCUGAGGCGCGAAAGCGUGGGGAGCGAACGGGAUUAGAUACCCUUGUAGUC